AAGUAGGGCCGUAAGGUCCUGUGGACCAUUCGGAUAUGAAAAUCCUGGCAGUAGUAACAGCAAAGUCGGGUGAGAAUCCCGAUCGCCGAAGGGGCUAGGUUUCCUCGGCAAUGAUCGUCAGCCGAGGGUUAGUCGAUCCUAAGAUGUACCGUAAGUCGAGUACAUCGAAAGGGAAACAGGUUAAUAUUCCUGUACCAUUUUGGCAAUUAAACUGACGCAUCCGGGUAGGUUGAGCAGUCAUAUGUCAGGCUGUCUAAGCACCGAAACUUGUGGAGAGCCGUAAUGGUGAGAAGCAAGUGAAUGUGUAAUGGCGAAAGUCAACUUAUCCCAGGUGACCGUGAAAAGGGAGCCAAAAUGAUCGUACCGAGAACUGACACAGGUGCCCCUAGCUGAAAAGGCUAAGGCGUGUCGGAAUUACACUGGCUAAGGGAAUUCGGCAAAUUAGCUCCGUAACUUCGGAAGAAGGAGUGCCUGCCGUGAAGACGGCAGGUCGCAGUGACUAGGGAGCUCUAACUGUCUAAUAACAACAUAGCUGACCGCAACUCCGAAAGGACUAGUACGGUCAGUGAAUCCUGCCCAGUGCAGGUACCUGAAAACCCGGUUCAACGGGGCGAAGGGCCUGUCAACGGCGGGGGUAACUAUGACCCUCUUAAGGUAGCGUAGUACCUUGCCGCUUAAUUGGCGGCUUGCAUGAAUGGAUCAAUGAGAGCUCUACUGUCCCUAGCCAGAAUCCGGUGAACUUUACAUUCUAGUGCAGAGUCUAGAGACCUCUAGGGGGAAGUGAAGACCCCGUAGAGCUUUACUGCAGCCUGCAGCUGAGUUGUGAUUUUGGAUGUACAGUAUAGGUAGGAGGCAUCGAAACCCCGGCGCCAGCCGGGGUGGAGCCGCCAAUGGGAUACUACCCUUUCAAGAUUACGGCCCUAACUCAGAGAUGAGGACCCCUGUAGGUGGGCAGUUUGGGUGGGGCGCCACGCCCUUGAAAAGAUAUCAAGGGCGCCCAAAGGUUGACUCAAGUGGGUCGGAAACCCACUGAAGAGUGCAAGAGCAUAAGUCAGCCUUACGUGAUUUCGCAAAGCAAGGAAUCGCGAGACGAAAGUCGGGUCUAGCGAACCAAUGUACCUCCUUGAUGGGGGUCAUUGACUACAGAAAAGCUACCUCAGGGAUAACAGAGUCGUUUCCGGCAAGAGCACAUAUCGACCCGGAAGCUUGCUACCUCGAUGUCGGUUCUUUCCAUCCUGGCCGUGCAGCAGCGGCCAAGGGUGAGGUUGUUCGCCUAUUAAAGGAGAUCGUGAGCUGGGUUUAGACCGUCGUGAGACAGGUCGGUUACUAUCUACUAGAGGUGUUCGUUGUCUGAAGGAAAGUUGCAUUCAGUACGAGAGGAACUAUGCAACGGUGCCACUGGUCGAUCGGUUGUCCGGCAGGGCAAUGCCGAGCAGCUACGCACCAAGGGAUAAGGGCUGAAAGCAUCUAAGCCCGAAACCCAUCCUGAAAAGAGACAACAUUAAGGACACUCAUAAAAGAUGAGGUUGAUAGAGUCGGGAUGUACGCACCAAGGCAACGAGGUGUUUAGUCCGCGGCUACUAAUAGUCCGUAC
rnacentral:rRNA from 1 species